rnacentral:rRNA from 1 species
AUGAUGUGCUUAGGGAAGAACUGGGAUCCAGAUUCAGGCUUAUAUGGGGAUAUACGACGUUCUGAUGCUGCUCAACCACCAAAGAUACCAGAAGAAUUGACUAAGUACGUGAAAGAUGCCAUUGCAGCUUCCCAUGAAUUCUUAAAACAAAGAGGCAAGGGAGCUACCAAUCCUGCUGUAGAACUUCCUGUGAUGUCACCGGACAUCUGCAUUGUUAACUUCUACACCACUAGCGGGAAGUUAGGUUUUCAUCAGGACAAUAAUGAACAGGAAUCUAGCCUUGCCAAGGGACUGCCUGUUGUUUCCUUUUCAUUGGGCGACACUGCAGAAUUCUUGUAUGGCGAUGUCAGAGAUGAUGAUACUAAGGCUUCAAAGAUUAAACUUGAAUCUGGUGAUGUUCUGUUAUUUGGUGGUCAAUCAAGGCACAUAUUCCAUGGGGUCUCCAGCAUUGCACCGGAAAGUGCACCGCUCUGGGUGACCGACAGGGCAAAUCUUCGAUCCGGGCGUCUGAACCUCACAUUCAGGCAAUACAAUUACAAAGGGUCAGUCAACAUCACUCCUGCUCCAUUCGAUGCAAAUCUUCGACCCGGAUGUCUGAACCUCAGACCCAGGCAAUACAAAGAGUCACUCAACGUCACACCUGCUCCAUUUGAUACAUGCGUUUGCGACAACGAUGCUGCUCCAUUACAACAUCUGAGACCUGGGAUGGUUCUGUUGAAGAAGUUCUUAAAUGCCAAUGAUCAGGUUGAAAUUUUCCAACUUUGUCGUAGUCUUGGUGUUAACACAAGACAGUUUAUGCGCUUAGGGAAGAAAUGGAAUCAAUAUUCAAACUCUUAUGGAGAUAUGCGUCCUCUUGAUGGGGCUCAACCAGAUAUCCCUAAAAUAUUCAAGAAGCUCGUGGAAGAUGCCAUUGAAGCCUCCCAUGAAUUCCUGGAGCAAAGAGGGGGUACUUCCAAUCCUUUGGUAGAGCUUCCUCCAAUGUCACCAGAUAUGUGCACUGUUAGGUUUGACACAAUUAUCUCGGCAAUUGUUCCUCGUCAGGACACGGAUGUAACAGAAGCCAGCCUUGUUAGGGAAUUGCCUGUUGUUUCGUUUUGGUUGGGCGACAGUGCAGAAUUCUUGUACCCUGGCAUAAGAGAUGAUCUGGCUUCAAAGAUUGAUCUUGAAUCUGGGGAUGUUCUAAUUUUUGGUGGCCAAUCAAGGAGAAUAUCCCACGCGGUUUCCAGCAUCAAACCGAGAACUGCACCGGAGUGGCUUGCCGACAAGACGAAUCUUCAAGAUGGGCUUCUGAAUCUCACAUUCAGGCAAUAUUAG